UACACUCCUACGGGAGGCAGCAGUGGGGAAUUUUGGACAAUGGGCGAAAGCCUGAUCCAGCAAUGCCGCGUGAGUGAAGAAGGCCUUCGGGUUGUAAAGCUCUUUUGUCAGGGAAGAAACGGUGAAAGCUAAUAUCUUUUGCUAAUGACGGUACCUGAAGAAUAAGCACCGGCUAACUACGUGCCAGCAGCCGCGGUAAUACGUAGGGUGCAAGCGUUAAUCGGAAUUACUGGGCGUAAAGCGUGCGCAGGCGGUUUUGUAAGUCUGAUGUGAAAUCCCCGGGCUCAACCUGGGAAUUGCAUUGGAGACUGCAAGGCUAGAAUCUGGCAGAGGGGGGUAGAAUUCCACGUGUAGCAGUGAAAUGCGUAGAUAUGUGGAGGAACACCGAUGGCGAAGGCAGCCCCCUGGGUCAAGAUUGACGCUCAUGCACGAAAGCGUGGGGAGCAAACAGGAUUAGAAACCCGUGUAGUCCCA
rnacentral:rRNA from 1 species